GAUCAACGCUAGCUACAGGCUUAACACAUGCAAGUCGAGGGGAAACGACAUUGAAGCUUGCUUCGAUGGUCGUCGACCGGCGCACGGGUGAGUAACGCGUAUCCAACCUGCCUCUGACCAAGGGAUAACCCGUCGAAAGUCGGCCUAAUACCUUAUGCAGUCGUCGGAAGUCAUCUGAUGACGACGAAAGAUUUCAUCGGUGAGAGAUGGGGAUGCGUCUGAUUAGCUUGUUGGCGGGGUAACGGCCCACCAAGGCAACGAUCAGUAGGGGUUCUGAGAGGAAGGUCCCCCACAUUGGAACUGAGACACGGUCCAAACUCCUACGGGAGGCAGCAGUGAGGAAUAUUGGUCAAUGGGCGAGAGCCUGAACCAGCCAAGUAGCGUGCAGGAUGACGGCCCUAUGGGUUGUAAACUGCUUUUAUGCGGGGAUAAAGUGAGGGACGUGUCCUUCAUUGCAGGUACCGCAUGAAUAAGGACCGGCUAAUUCCGUG
rnacentral:rRNA from 1 species